AGGCUGGAAUUAACUAAGAGGAGAAAAUUUGAAUGUGCAUGAGCAAUGUAGGCUACUGGCAGUUUUGGUGACUGCAACAGCCAGCAAUGGUCUAAUGCCAUCAAGGGGGUGUCAAGCAAGGCGUUCAUGGUAUUUAGUCCUUAUUGUUUAUGUGG